rnacentral:rRNA from 1 species
AUUGAACGCUGGCGGCGGGCCUAACACAUGCAAGUCGAACGAGUGGCGGACGGGUGAGUAAUGUCUGGGAAACUGCCUGAUGGGGGGGGAUAACUACUGGAAACGGUAACUAAUACCGCAUACCAUCAGAUGUGCCAAGAUUGGAUGAGCUUGUUGGUGGGGUAACGGCUCACCAAGGCGACGAGCCCUAGCUGGUCUGAGAGGAUGACGAGUCACACGGGAACUGAGAUACGGUCUAGACUCCGACGGGAGGCACCAGUGGGGAAUAUUGCACAAGGGGCGGAAGCCUGAUGCAGCCAUUCCGCGUGUAUGAAGAAGGCCUUCGGGUCGUAAAGGACUUUCAGCGGGGAGGCGUUACCCGCAGAAUAAGCACCGGCUAACUCCGUGCCAGCCGCCGCGGUAAUAC